ensembl:ncRNA M03D4.74 ncRNA
AUCCGCGCACACCACAUGCAGCAAGUAGCUCUCACAUAUCAUUUAUGUCUUUGCGUACUCCUCAAAUCACACACUAUCUCGUUACUCCAAACUCAUGUCCGGUAUAAACAGAAGUGUAACCCAUCGGCGAGAAAGUGUGGAGCAGUGAGAGACGCAGAGAACGGACCAAGUAGUUUCUGGC